rnacentral:ncRNA from 2 species
AGGGAACGCCGUGCAAACCGGCGACAGUCGCGCUGCGGUAUCGAGCGUUUUUCCCUCCCGUCCCGACGCGGACCUUUCGCGCCGGGUAAACCGCCAGUCCCGCCUGCAACGCGGGGUGAAGGCCGGAGGGGGAUGUCGGGGAUGUCCUCUCCCCGCGCGCCCGGAGUCCGAAUACCU